AUUGAACGCUGGCGGCAGGCCUAACACAUGCAAGUCGAGCGGAUGAAGGGAGCUUGCUCCUGGAUUCAGCGGCGGACGGGUGAGUAAUGCCUAGGAAUCUGCCUGGUAGUGGGGGAUAACGUCCGGAAACGGGCGCUAAUACCGCAUACGUCCUGAGGGAGAAAGUGGGGGAUCUUCGGACCUCACGCUAUCAGAUGAGCCUAGGUCGGAUUAGCUAGUUGGUGGGGUAAAGGCCUACCAAGGCGACGAUCCGUAACUGGUCUGAGAGGAUGAUCAGUCACACUGGAACUGAGACACGGUCCAGACUCCUACGGGAGGCAGCAGUGGGGAAUAUUGGACAAUGGGUGAAAGCCUGAUCCAGCCAUGCCGCGUGUGUGAAGAAGGUCUUCGGAUUGUAAAGCACUUUAAGUUGGGAGGAAGGGCAGUAAGUUAAUACCUUGCUGUUUUGACGUUACCAACAGAAUAAGCACCGGCUAACUUCGU
rnacentral:rRNA from 1 species